CCUCCCCCACCGGGCAGGGAACAGGCAGAGGGGACCCCUUCCUCCCUAUCUUCCUACAAGGGGCCCCCUCUGCCCUGCUGGGGGCCUCGGGCCUCUGUGCUGUCACCGGUGAGGUGGGCGCCCUCCCGGCCGGCUGGGGUCCACUGCCCCCCCACCCCCGGCAGCUGAAACCCACGCGCAGACCCGGGCCUUGCAGGCCUCAGAGGAGGAAGCGCACAUAAAGGGAAAUUGUAUGCAGUCAGCCUACCCUCCCGCGCCACCGCUGCGUUUUUUUAAGGAGUUGACAUCAAAGUCUGGGAAGUCGCUCGGGCGGAACCUGAGAAUCCCUUGCUCAGCAAAUCCACCUGCAGUGCCCGGGGCCUCCGAGGCUGAGGAAGAAGAAAAGCCCUUUUCUUGCGCAGAAGCCAGGUCACCGCUUCUCCCAGACACCGGCUGGCGGCUGUGACUCCUUCCGUGGCCCCAUCGAGGUCCUUCUGCCAGGGCCCAUGGGGCAGAACCAGAACUUUCAGAUUUUAGACGGCCUGUGCCAUCCCAUCAGGCCCUGUCCGGGCGCCCAGUCAUCCUGGACUGUCCCCGACUGUCCUAGCCUCACCACUGCAAAUGCCAUCUCCAAGAUGAGGAAACUGAGGUCCAGAUAAAAAUGAAAUUGAUUCCCAAGCCCUCCAAGUGGAGCGAGGACUUGAACCCAGACUGGCUGGCUCCAGAGGCCAAGCUUGUAACCACUAAUAGCAAUAGCAGCUGACACUUGGGUGUGAUCGCCCUUGCCUGCUGCACUUCUGGGCACUCCCGUAUCUGCCGAGCACAUCCUCCUGAGUGCGCUUAUUACCCUACGUUACACUCGGGGCAAUCCAGGCACAGAAAGGACUUGCUGCUCGCCCAGGUCAAGCAGCAGUAGAAGACAGAAUGGGGCUGAUCAGCUGCUUCCAGAAUACGUGGUCUACCCCUCGGUGCAGCCCCAGGACAAACUGAAUACAGGCUCAAUAAAUUGUCA